AUUCAGUAUAAUAGAAAUGGCACCGGUUCAAACUAAACUGGUGCCAAAUUAAUAAAAUGGCGCCGGUUUGAACCGGUGGGAAUUUACUGUUAAAAAAAACCAUCCCUCUAAUUUCUCUCUCUUUCCCCUCUUCUUUCUUUCUCUUUCCUUCUGAUCGUUCUCUCUCUCUCUCUCCUCUCUCCUAAACUGGAUCUUUCUCGUAUCUCUCAGCUCCGUCGUACUGCCGUCCAUUCCACCUCGCCGCGGCGCCAUCUCUUUCUCUCCUUUCUCCUAAACUGGAUCGUUCUUUCUUUCGCUCUCCUUUUCUCUCUUUCAUUUCACCAUACACGACGACGCUUUUUCUUCACCGGCGGCGGCGAUGGUAACGGGUCUAUCUCUUCUCGAGUCCUCUGCUUCAGAUCUUGGUUAUGGUUAUGUAUAUACUUUCCUUUUUUUGAUUGUUAAUUUGAUUUAUUUUUCAAUUUCUAGGGUUUUUGUUGUUUGUAAAUGUUAGAUUAAUUUGCUUAGUGAUGGAAAUUUGGUUGCAUGGAUGUAAAGGUUUGCAUAUUGUAUUGUGUAAAAUAUUGGAUGGAAAUUUGUAAUUUGAUCUAUGUUUAGUUGAUGAAUUUUAAUGGUUUGGCUACUUGAUUUGGAAUUACUCAGUAAUUUUUUUAAUUUUCAAUAUGACUUUGAUUAUUUUUAAUUAAUGUUAAGUGUAUGGUAGUGGGUUGAAUUUUAAAAUUCAGUAUGAUUUAUGCUUUUGGUUCAAGGAUCCUUAAUUUUGAUUUUCAGGUAAUUGUGAAAUAACGAUAUGAUGAAUUGACGAUUCAUGAUUAAUUGGAUGCUUGUUAUUGGUCGAAUGGUGCUAUUUUUGUUGAAUUUGGGAUGUCCAUGGAGCUAAUUUGGUCAAGCUGACCAAGAGACUCUUCGAUCUCAUCCUUGUAUCCCUUUUUCUCUUUACUCUCAGUCUAGUGAUUUGCCUAAUUCUCGUAUUCAACCUGAUCGUCAUUGGUUUGUGCACCCCUGCUGCUGCUACUUUUGCUCUGUUGUAGCUGCUGCUUUUUCUGUGCUGUAGCUGCUACUUUUGCUCAGCCAAGAUUGCAGGAAAGUGUGGCUUUAAGCCUAUGUUUGGGAGUAUUCUUGCUGUAGCCAUUGGCAAGAUUGGGGCUGAUGGUGUUAUCUCUAUUGAGUCACUCUCAACCUCUAAAACUUACAUAAUUGUUGAAAAGGGAAUGAACAAUUGAAAUGAUAGGGCGUUUGAUUGAAUUAGUUGGGGUAUUUUCUUUCUGAAUUUUUAAUUGUGGUGGUUUCUUUCUGAAUUUUUAAUUUAUGUCUGGAAUGAAAGUGAUUAGUGAAAUUUGGUGGAUAUCCGAAUUCUAGACAAAAUUACGCGUUGAAUUGGUGUUCUUCAUGUUCAUGUAAUGCUAAAUUGAGCUGAUUUUUUUUUUUUUUUGUGACAGUGGCUUAAGUUGCAAGAAAAUAUUUCUUUUUGUUUUUUCUUGCUCUUGUAUAGCAUUGGUUGCAAGAAAAUUGAGCUGAUUUGUAUGCUGGAUGAUUGAUUUAUUAUAUAGCAUUGGGUUGGAUACUAUAACUCUUUAAGAGCAGUUGUGAACUCGACUUUAUAACUAGGAGUGUUGAGGGUAGCUAUCUACUUAGAUUAGCGUACAGUUCUGGCAUCUAAAUCAGACUCUAUAUGCUAAAUCAGACUCUCUGAAGUAGUUGUUUCAGCAGUUGAAUGCCUCUUUUAUUAUAUUCUUAAGUUCAUUUUCCUACCCCCACCCCAUUCCCUAUAUGUAAUUCAGAAAGAAAAGGUAAGAUAGUAUUAUUUGUUAUUGCUGAUUUAAGAUUCUUUUCUGCUGUUUUUAUG